UGACUUUGUGCGUGCGUUCGUU
rnacentral:piRNA from 1 species